rnacentral:lncRNA from 1 species
ACCGGGGGCUCUCACACGCGACUGUAGCUGCCCUGAAACUCUCGCUGGGAAUUAAGCUAUUACGUUGAUUCAUCACAUAUUCACUGCGCAUUUCUGGUAUACUAGCUGCCAGGUCCCCACAGCGGGUCUGAAUCCCAACAGCCUUGGAGCCUCAUAGUCCACCUGGCUGCAGAACCUGGGCACCAACUGCUGAGAAUCUUCAGGAGAGAAAAUUCCGAUGGCAGUUGAGAGCAACGGUGGAGCAGCGAAGCCCACAGGCAGCAGAGCACACAGACCUGGGAGGGGUGCAGAGGUGGCAUCAGCGCUAUGGGGGCGUGCAGGGGAAAGCUGAUGGGAGGGAAAGGGUCCCAUGAGCUAUACUGAUAAUGACAAUGGUGAUAGCAACUUUGGAAGCCAGUUAAUAUUGGAAUAUGGCAAAGCCACUAUCAGCCUGUUUCCUGAGGGAACGCAUAGAGCCGAACUUUCUCCCUGCGCCUACUCCAACAAUCUGGAAUGUCUG